rnacentral:rRNA from 1 species
UACGUAGGGUGCGAGCGUUUGUCCGGAAUUAUUGGGCGUAAAGAGCUCGUAGGCGGUUUGUCGCGUCUGCUGUGAAAACUCGGGGCUUAACCCCGGGCCUGCAGUGGGUACGGGCAGACUAGAGUGCGGUAGGGGGAGACUGGAAUUCCUGGUGUAGCGGUGAAAUGCGCAGAUAUCAGGAGGAACACCGGUGGCGAAGGCGGGUCUCUGGGCCGUAACUGACGCUGAGGAGCGAAAGCGUGGGGAGCGAACAGG